UAGCUCAGUUGGCUAGAGCACUCCCUUGGUAAGGGAGAGGUCUCGGGUUCAAAUCCCG
rnacentral:tRNA from 1 species